GUAAUGUUAAUUUCUGAAGUGUUCUGAAUGGCGGGAAGUUCAUCACAUCUUUUCAGGCUUCUUAACUUCAGCAGCAGAUUGCAAAACUGGCUUUAACCCGGGAUGACAGCAUGCUUUUUACAGCCGAUCAUGUCGGCUUCAUCUACAUUUACAAUGUCAAGCAAUACGCCCUGGGACCCGAACAAAACCCUCCGAAAAAGGUGAACUUCUGGCGUGCGUAUAUCAGCAGCAUCACUAGGUACAUUUGGAUAAGAAGAAAGUUGGAGCAUCAACACACCAUCUUCCUGGAAGCACCCUGCUGUUCCCUACGAGAUUCUCAUAGAUCCCUUAAGUAUGCCGUCUCAUCCCGUACUGGAUAUAGAAAUCAGUCUGUCAGAUGUCUCGGAGAAAACUGAAAACGUAAACUGUGAGUUGGAUGUCC
ensembl:lncRNA